rnacentral:rRNA from 1 species
CUACAGGCCAUGCUUAGUACGGCGAGUGAAGCGGCAAAAGCUCAAAUUUGAAAUCUGGCACCUUCGGUGUCCGAGUUGUAAUUUGAAGAAGGUAACUUUGGAGUUGGCUCUUGUCUAUGUUCCUUGGAACAGGACGUCACAGAGGGUGAGAAUCCCGUGCGAUGAGAUGCCCAAUUCUAUGUAAAGUGCUUUCGAAGAGUCGAGUUGUUUGGGAAUGCAGCUCUAAGUGGGUGGUAAAUUCCAUCUAAAGCUAAAUAUUGGCGAGAGACCGAUAGCGAACAAGUACAGUGAUGGAAAGAUGAAAAGAACUUUGAAAAGAGAGUGAAAAAGUACGUGAAAUUGUUGAAAGGGAAGGGCUUGAGAUCAGACUUGGUAUUUUGCGAUCCUUUCCUUCUUGGUUGGGUUCCUCGCAGCUUACUGGGCCAGCAUCGGUUUGGAUGGUAGGAUAAUGACUAAGGAAUGUGGCUCUACUUCGGUGGAGUGUUAUAGCCUUGGUUGAUACUGCCUGUCUAGACCGAGGACUGCGUCUUUUGACUAGGAUGUUGGCAUAAUGAUCUUAAGCCACCCGUCUUGAAA